GAUGAACGCUGGCGGCGUGCCUAAUACAUGCAAGUCGAGCGAACAGACGAGGAGCUUGCUCCUCUGACGUUAGCGGCGGACGGGUGAGUAACACGUGGAUAACCUACCUAUAAGACUGGGAUAACUUCGGGAAACCGGAGCUAAUACCGGAUAAUAUAUUGAACCUCAUGGUUCUAUAGUGAACGACGGUUUUGCUGUCACUUAUACAUGGAUCCGCGCCGCAUUAGCUAGUUGGUAAGGUAACGGCUUACCAAGGCGACGAUGCGUAGCCGACCUGAGAGGGUGAUCGGCCACACUGGAACUGAGACACGGUCCAGACUCCUACGGGAGGCAGCAGUAGGGAAUCUUCCGCAAUGGGCGAAAGCCUGACGGAGCAACGCCGCGUGAGUGAUGAAGGUCUUCGGAUCGUAAAACUCUGUUAUUAGGGAAGAACAAAUGUGUAAGUAACUAUUCACGUCUUGACGGUACCUAAUCAGAAAGCCACGGCUAACUACGUG
rnacentral:rRNA from 1 species